UACGUAGGGCGCAAGCGUUAUCCGGAAUUAUUGGGCGUAAAGAGCUCGUAGGCGGUUUGUCGCGUCUGCCGUGAAAGUCCGGGGCUCAACCCCGGACUUGCAGUGGGUACGGGCAGACUGGAGUGUGGUAGGGGAGACUGGAAUUCCUGGUGUAGCGAUGGAAUGCGCAGAUAUCAGGAGGAACACCGAUGGCGAAGGCAGGUCUCCGGGCCACUACUGACGCUGAGAAGCGAAAGCAUGGGGAGCGAACAGG
rnacentral:rRNA from 1 species